CCAGAAGUGAUCAUAUUAGAUCCUGUAUGAGUAGAUAGAUCCUUGUCACCACCAAGAUCUUAACUACAUAGAAAAUACAAGUAUGGUGGUACAUAAGAAACCAUUGGAUUGAAAACAGACAUGCGAUAAUAAAUGCAUAUCACACUAGUAGGAAGCUAACAUUAACAAAGAUAUCGACAAUAUGUGUCUAAUGCCCUGGUUUAUGUUGGUUUUCUAACCAACUGCUCAAUAUUA
rnacentral:lncRNA from 1 species